GCAGCAGCACGUCCUGCAGGCCGAUGUUGGCCGACUCCGGCGGCAGGAACGAGUUCCACAUGAGCUGCUUCUGCAACUCCUCGCGAUCCUCAGAGUGCACCAAUUCAUACACAGAUUGAUGCACUAUAUCCGACUGGCAAGAAACGAAAGUGAGAGUGUGGUGUGUAGGAAAGUGCAUUGGGGCACGCUAUUAAAACACACACCUGAUGGAAUCCCAAGUAGCCUUCUAUGCUGUGCGUGGCGAAAAACACUUCGCCUUCGCAUGUUAAAAUCAUUAGGAACCCGUUUAAUGCCUGUAAUAUAACACCAGUUUAACUUUAACCGAGCGCAACAUGUAAACGAAACACACGAGAGGAACAUUUCGCCGUCUAAUGGAGUGUGAUCGAAUGCAGUCAGUUCGCGCCCUCGAUGCAACGUACCGCUGUCUUCUUUAUCUUUGUGCAUUACAACUGCAAACACAAAACAACCCCCACAUUACUACGCAUAACCUAAAAUAUGUAUAUUGGGUUGCCUAUGUUAACCAGCACAACAUGAGUAUAAGUAAGUGUAUUUUCUGCACUGCGAGAAAACAGAAUGUUAGUCGAAGCACUGCGUGUAACAAUGUGCAAUUACCGACUAAUUAACGUUAUCGGCAUGCUGAUAUGCUCUAGUGAGACCGUCCGGCGACCGUGAAAAAAGUCUAGAGAUGCACCUCGGAUAUAGAUGCGCUUUUAAACGGGAAUCCGGUGCGCGCCGCUUUUUUGCUCUCUUUACGCCGAUGCGUGCGUUUACAAGUCCAUCAAAUAUGAAUUAAUAAACACCAGAGCACUCGCAGUGCAGUUUACGAUUAGAUAUGUGUGUUGCUGGUUGCUGAUAUACACACUCUAAUGAUUAAUUAAAAUAUUAAUUAUCGCCGUAAUAAAAAUCAACGGUUAGUGCAUUGGCAAUUUGAAUAAUUUACGGUUACAUUGAUUGCAGUAAACGUGUUGGAACAAAUUAGUAUACUGAAGCUUUGAAGACAAGAAAAACAUCUUUUGAGCGCUGGUAAAACAAGCCUCGCGGUGAAUACGAAUGGAUUUGUUAACAAAUAGCGGCUACCAGUAACAAGACGUUUGCGCCCCGCGAGGGGCGACCGCGAUAAAUUAUAUCGAUGAAUACACAACGCAACAAUAAUUUUUUGUAUUCAAAAAGCAUCAGAACCUUUUCAACGCGUGAGUUUUUAUUCUUUUACU